rnacentral:lncRNA from 1 species
GUCCCUUCUCUGCUACGGUUCAGGUUAGAUGAGCUGCUCCCGUUGGUGGUUUUUAUCUCUUAGCUACACAGCUGCCUGUAGCACUCUCGUCUUUCAGAAUGAGUUGCCAACUUUCCAUUCUGGCCGUCAGAAUUAAAACAAAGAAUCAUCCUCCAAAGUCAUCCAGGCCGAAACAAGGUCUCCCUACAUUGCCCAGGCUGGCCUCAAAC